rnacentral:rRNA from 1 species
UUGUCUCAAAGCUUAAGCCAUGCAAGUCUCAGUACAAUCCAAAUUAAGGCGAAACCGCAAACGGCUCAUUAAAUCAGUUUUAGUUUACUUGAGCGAAAACUAUCAGUUUUGGACAACUGUGGCAAUUCUAGAGCUAAUACAUGCAACCGAGUCCCGACCAGUGACUGGAAAGGACGCUUUUAUUAGAUCAAAAUCAAUCGGUCGUCUCGUACGUCCGUUUGACUUGAUGACUCUGAAUAACACAGCAGAUCGCACGGUCUCCGUACCGGCGACUCAUCUUUCAAAUGCCUGACUUAUCAACUGUCGAUGGUAGAUUUUACGUCUACCAUGGUUGUAACGGGUGACGGGGAAUCAGGGUUCGAUUCCGGAGAGGGAGCCUGAGAAACGGCUACCACAUCCAAGGAAGGCAGCAGGCACGCAAAUUACCCACUCCCGGCACGGGGAGGUAGUGACAAAAAAUAACGAUACGGGACUCAUCCGAGGCCCCGUAAUCGGAAUGAGAACACUCUAAAU